rnacentral:tRNA from 1 species
GGGGUGGUAGCUCAGUUGGUUAGAGCGCCUCCCUGUCACGGAGGAGGUCGGGGGUUCGAGUCCCCUCCAUCCCGCCA